UCAGCACGUAAGCACACGAGGCCUCCUGCAAGGCAAGGAAAGGGGCCGUCAUUCACAGGAAUAGUCACUGCCACUGAGCGUCCGGAUGCAACCCUGGCAUCUGAGGCAGCAGACUCAGACUGUAACGCGGGUACUAGGAUACAGCCCAGGGACCGAAACCGAACUGGCAGGCGAGCAUGGUGAAUACAUGGUGGUUCAAUUCACGUGGGCUGAACUGCACUGGACUUCUCUGCUGGCUGUCAGGUCUCGCUCAUCUUCUGGAGAGAAUAUUCUGCAACCCCCAGGCUCUUUAACAACACCACUGGUUCCUUAUAAUAGCAGAUUGGAAGAAGUUGUUAGCUUCUUUUCUCAGAACGGACAUGUGGAUUUGGGGCAAGGAAGAAAAGCAAAAGCAAAAGCCCAAACAUUCUAACACAGGAAUGGCGUUCGAAGAUCUGCAACUAUACUACUUGGAAAUGAUCCCCAGGCUAAAGUGACCAGGGAAGUGACCCAAAAAACAAAUUCUUCUUGACUUUUAAGGCAGGUGCAACUGUGGACAGCUGAGGUCCCCUUUGAAAUUAUCUUGCCAUCGUAGGAUGGGCUAGGAUGACUCAACUCUUUAAAUGCAUGUUAAAGACUGGCUACUGUAUUUACUACAUUCUGGCCUCAUUUUUUUUUGGUUAUGAUUUUGAAACUCAGAAUGAACAAUACCACGUGUGUGAUGUUUUGGUCGCAAACAUUAAAGACAGCGAAUAAUUAUAAGCAGCUGUGGAAGUCAACAUCCACUGUUAAACCCAUGAACCAUUCCAAAUUCCUCGGUGAGAUACUCUGAGAUAACAAAGAUUCCAGUGAGCAACUCAAUCAUGACAUCUUUAUUAUACCAUAGAUGAAUAUUUGUUAAAUAAAA
rnacentral:lncRNA from 1 species